rnacentral:rRNA from 1 species
AGAGUUUGAUCCUGGCUCAGGACGAACGCUGGCGGCAUGCCUAAUACAUGCAAGUCGAACGAACUCUGGUAUUGAUUGGUGCUUGCAUCAUGAUUUACAUUUGAGUGAGUGGCGAACUGGUGAGUAACACGUGGGAAACCUGCCCAGAAGCGGGGGAUAACACCUGGAAACAGAUGCUAAUACCGCAUAACAACUUGGACCGCAUGGUCCGAGUUUGAAAGAUGGCUUCGGCUAUCACUUUUGGAUGGUCCCGCGGCGUAUUAGCUAGAUGGUGGGGUAACGGCUCACCAUGGCAAUGAUACGUAGCCGACCUGAGAGGGUAAUCGGCCACAUUGGGACUGAGACACGGCCCAAACUCCUACGGGAGGCAGCAGUAGGGAAUCUUCCACAAUGGACGAAAGUCUGAUGGAGCAACGCCGCGUGAGUGAAGAAGGGUUUCGGCUCGUAAAACUCUGUUGUUGAAGAAGAACAUAUCUGAGAGUAACUGUUCAGGUAUUGACGGUAUUUAACCAGAAAGCCACGGCUAACUACGUGCCAGCAGCCGCGGUAAUACGUAGGUGGCAAGCGUUGUCCGGAUUUAUUGGGCGUAAAGCGAGCGCAGGCGGUUUUUUAAGUCUGAUGUGAAAGCCUUCGGCUCAACCGAAGAAGUGCAUCGGAAACUGGGAAACUUGAGUGCAGAAGAGGACAGUGGAACUCCAUGUGUAGCGGUGAAAUGCGUAGAUAUAUGGAAGAACACCAGUGGCGAAGGCGGCUGUCUGGUCUGUGACUGACGCUGAGGCUCGAAAGUAUGGGUAGCAAACAGGAUUAGAUACCCUGGUAGUCCAUACCGUAAACGAUGAAUGCUAAGUGUUGGAGGGUUUCCGCCCUUCAGUGCUGCAGCUAACGCAUUAAGCAUUCCGCCUGGGGAGUACGGCCGCAAGGCUGAAACCCAAAGGAAUUGACGGGGGCCCGCACAAGCGGUGGAGCAUGUGGUUUAAUUCGAAGCUACGCGAAGAACCUUACCAGGUCUUGACAUACUAUGCAAAUCUAAGAGAUUAGACGUUCCCUUCGGGGACAUGGAUACAGGUGGUGCAUGGUUGUCGUCAGCUCGUGUCGUGAGAUGUUGGGUUAAGUCCCGCAACGAGCGCAACCCUUAUUAUCAGUUGCCAGCAUUAAGUUGGGCACUCUGGUGAGACUGCCGGUGACAAACCGGAGGAAGGUGGGGAUGACGUCAAACCAUCAUGCCCCUUAUGACCUGGGCUACACACGUGCUACAAUGGAUGGUACAACGAGUUGCGAACUCGCGAGAGUAAGCUAAUCUCUUAAAGCCAUUCUCAGUUCGGAUUGUAGGCUGCAACUCGCCUACAUGAAGUCGGAAUCGCUAGUAAUCGCGGAUCAGCAUGCCGCGGUGAAUACGUUCCCGGGCCUUGUACACACCGCCCGUCACACCAUGAGAGUUUGUAACACCCAAAGUCGGUGGGGUAACCUUUUAGGAACCAGCCGCCUAAGGUGGGACAGAUGAUUAGGGUGAAGUCGUAACAAGGUAACC